rnacentral:rRNA from 1 species
CUACGGGUGGCACCAGUGGGGAAUUUUGGACAAUGGGGGCAACCCUGAUCCAGCCAUGCCGCGUGAGUGAAGAAGGCCUUCGGGUUGUAAAGCUCUUUCAGCCGGGAAGAAAUCGCAUGGGUUAAUACCCUGUGCGGAUGACGGUACCGGAAUAAGAAGCACCGGCAACUACGUGCCAGCAGCCGCGGUGAAUACGUAGGGUGCGAGCGUUAAUCGGAAUUACUGGGCGUAAAGCGUGCGCAGGCGGAUGCUUAAGUCAGAUGUGAAAUCCCCGGGCUUAACCUGGGAAUUGCAUUUGAAACUGGGUGUCUAGAGUGCGUCAGAGGGGGGUGGAAUUCCACGUGUAGCAGUGAAAUGCGUAGAUAUGUGGGGGAACACCAAUGGCGAAGGCAGCCCCCUGGGAUGACACUGACGCUCAUGCACGAAAGCGUGGGGAGCAAACAGGAUUAGAUACCCUUGUAGUC